ACUUGAACCCCUAGAGACAGAGGUUGCAAUGAGCCAAGAUCGCACCACAGCCUGGUGACAGAGUGAGACUGUCUCAAAAAAAUAAUAAAAAUAAAAAGGAAAUAAUGUAUUUUGCAGAAACCUGGAUGGAGCUGGAGGCCAUUAUUCUAAGUGAAUUAACUGAAGAAUGGAAAACCAAAUACUGUCCACACCCAGAAAGCCAAAUAGAUGAGAGUGAAACCAUCCUUAUAAACCUUAUAAAAUUAGCCAGGGAAGAAGGAAGAGGGAGAAAGGAAAAUAAGUCAAGCUUGCAGCACACUCAGCAUUAAUCAUUAGGUAACAACUUGAACACUAUGAAACAUUAAGUUUUACCUUUGAGACAUUCCUUAAGAUCCUGCUUACUGAUGAAACUACUGGCUCAGCUGGUCUGAAAGAUCCUACCGACUCAAGCUGAUCUGAAGGACUCCAUGGAUGCCAGCUGGUCUGAAGGACCCCACAAGGAGCUAACUCAUGAAAGAAUGCAGUUUCCACAUCCUGGUGAUUUCCUCUCCCUUGCCCCGAUCAACCAACAACCCCAAUUUUCCAACCCUUUACCUUCCACGAUCCCCUUAAAAGCCCCAGCCCAGAACUCCUUGGUGAGAUGGAUUUGAGGGUCUCCUCUUGUGUCCUCACUUGGUGUGCUGUGAUUAUGAAACUUUCUCUGCUGCAAAUCCUGCUGUCUCACAGUAAUUGGUAUGUUAUUGCACAGUGGGGAUACAAACCAGUUGGUCCUAUAACAAAUGUUGGCAAUCCAGCCAGGAGCCCCUUGUGGGCCUGCACCUUGGUGACCCCUCGUUAUUGGUUUGGAACCAGAGACAAGCCCAAGUGGCCGUUCAGUUUCACUGAAUGAAGGGCUGUCUCCAGUGCCUUGCAUGUUGAAAGGGCAGUGUCAACCUGUGGUGCACAAAUUUCUUGCAGCAAAUGAACGGUUUUUUUUCUGUUUGUUUUGUUUUUUUGAGACGGAGUCUUGCUCUGUCACCCAGGCUAGAGUGCAGUGGCACGAUCUUGGCUCACUGCAAGCUCCGCCUCCCGGGUUCACACCAAUUCUUCUGUCUCAGCCUCCUGAGUAGCUGGGACUACAGGCGCACGCCGCCACGCCCGGCUAAUUUUUUUGUAUUUUUAGUAGGGACGG
rnacentral:lncRNA from 10 species